rnacentral:rRNA from 1 species
UUUGAUCAUGGCUCAGAAUCAACGCUGGCGGCGUGCCUCAGACAUGCAAGUCGAACGCGAAAGUUUCCUUCGGGAGACAAGUAGAGUGGCGCACGGGUGAGUAACACGUAGGUAAUCUACCUUUGGAUGGGGAAUAACAAUCGGAAACGAUUGCUAAUACCGCAUAAUGCAGCGGCACCUAAUGGUGACAGUUGUUAAAGCGGGGGAUCGAAAGACCUCGCGUCUAAAGAGGAGCCUGCGGCGGAUUAGCUAGUUGGUAAGGUAAUGGCUUACCAAGGCUACGAUCCGUAACCGGCCUGAGAGGGCGGUCGGUCACACUGACACUGACAUACGGGUCAGACUCCUACGGGAGGCAGCAGUCGGGAACUUUGGGCAAUGGGCGAAAGCCUGACCCAGCAACGCCGCGUGAAGGAUGAAAUCCCUCGGGAUGUAAACUUCGCAAGAACGGGAAGAAUAAGUAGGGGACAAUACCCCCUAUGAUGACGGUACCGUUUGUAAGCUCCGGCUAACUCCGUGCCAGCAGCCGCGGUAAUACGGGGGGAGCAAGCGUUGUUCGGAUUUACUGGGCGUAAAGGGCGCGUAGGCGGUCAGCACAAGUUAGUUGUGAAAUCUCCGAGCUUAACUCGGAAAGGUCAACUGAUACUGUGCGACUAGAGUGCGGAAGGGGCAACUGGA